rnacentral:misc_RNA from 1 species
AACGAGGCCGACCUGCGGCUGAGUUACCUGCGGAAGGAUCAUUACAAGUGACCCCGGUCUAACCACCGGGAUGUUCAUAACCCUUUGUUGUCCGACUCUGUUGCCUCCCGGGCGACCCUGCCUUCGGGCGGGGGCUCCGGGUGGACACUUCAAACUCUUGCGUAACUUUGCAGUCUGAGUAAACUUAAUUAAUAAAUUAAAACUUUUAACAACGGAUCU